UUCCUUCUCAAUCAAAGUAGGGUUUCUGCAUAAGAAUGAUGACACAACUUUCAUCCAAAGAUCCGUCUGUACGUUCAGUGUUAGAAACACAGGGUGCCCCAGAUCAUUUGGGGAGCAGGAUUCGACGAUCCCUACCACCCGAUGAUCAAUCCACCAAGCCAAUCAACACCAUGGAGAACAAAUCAAAUCCCUAGGCAGGUCUGCAAGACAACAACCUGCAGCUGUCCAAGAACCAAUCGGGUAGACCCGAUAGCAAUUUUCCCCUAACCGAAGCCGCGCAGAUGAUAGUCGGGAGGCAGAGGCAUACUCUGAAACCCUAACGCGCACAGCCACGGAAUGAGCUUGAAAUCCCCAUCGUCGUCGUCGAGAUUUAGUCCGCCAUCAUCCGUGCACCGAUCGCGAAAGAAAGGACAGUAUCGGUGGUCUAACGCCUGCACGAAGCCGGCAAGGCCGGGGAUGUGCAAGGGAGGAGACUCCUCGACGGGUCGGAGGGGAGAGUGAGGGUUUUAGUAGGAGGAGGAGGUAAGUGGGAGAAAGGCCGCAGGGGAGGCGGGGAGGUGAGGGUUUGAGAAUCCCGAGAAGAAGAGGAGAAACGAAUGAGGAGAGGAAGGAGAACGCAGUCGUAGACGUCGAUUCUGUCUUCCCACGGCUUGUGGCUCCUCCGACUCUUCUCGGUCCCUCAAGCUCUCGGGUUGGUUUCGAGAGGUUUGAGGGCGGGAAGUCGCCGACUUGAAUCUUCAAAUGCC
rnacentral:lncRNA from 1 species